UGAGGAAUCUUGCGCAAUGGGCGAAAGCCUGAUCCAGCCAUGCCGCGUGAGUGACGAAGGCCUUAGGGUUGUAAAACUCUUUCGUCGGGGACGAUAAUGACGGUACCCGAAGAAGAAGCUCCGGCUAACUUCGUGCCAGCAGCCGCGGUAAUACGAAGGGAGCUAGCGUUGUUCGGAAUCACUGGGCGUAAAGCGCACGUAGGCGGAUAGUUAAGUCAGGGGUGAAAUCCUGGGGCUCAACCUCGGAACUGCCUUUGAUACUGUAGAUCUCGAGUCCGGAAGAGGUGAGUGGAAUUCCUAGUGUAGAGGUGAAAUUCGUAGAUAUUAGGAAGAACACCAGUGGCGAAGGCGGCUCACUGGUCCGGUACUGACGCUGAGGUGCGAAAGCGUGGGGAGCAAACAGGAUUAGAUACCCACGUAGUCCCUGAGCGGGCUGGCAAGGCGCAU
rnacentral:rRNA from 1 species